AUGGAUGGGGUUUCGACGGAGCCUCGCCACCCGCUCCUGCAGGCCGUUCUCGACGGCGACCUCCGCCUCCUCAAAGAGAUGGCGGGCGUCGUGGCGGCGGACGUCGGCAUCAGGGCGCGCGCGCUGACUGUGGCGGUCAUGGAAGGGCGGCUGGACAUCUGUAGGUGCCUCGUCGAGGACCACGGCGUCGACGUCAACCAGCGCACCUUCACAGGUGACACUCCUCUGGCCAUUUCUGCGACUUAUGGGACGCCUGCUACCACCAGAUAUCUUCUGGAUCGUGGUGCUGAUCCAACUUUAGCUGGUGCCCUGUGGCCACCUCUUCAUGCUGCUGCAAGUUUUGGACAAUGUGAGAUAGUGGAAUUGCUGCUUUCAACUGGAAUUGAUGUGGAUCAUUUCGAUUCUGUGUAUGGGACCGCAUUGCAUGUUGCCGCUACUAAUGGUCAAGAUGGCUCGAUGAAUAUUUUGUUGCAGCAUCAUGCAGAUCCUAAUAAGGUUUUCCGCCUUGAUAGUACCCCGUUAAGGCUGGCCAUGAUUUCUGAAUCGCUGGAAUGUGUGAAUCUACUCAUUAAGGCUGGCGCUGAUGUGAAUAAAAUUGACUAUACUGGUGUUACUUACUUGAUGAUAGCAGCGGGCAAUGGCUUAUCUGAUAUCCUGAAAUGCUUACUAGAUGCUGGUGCUAACCCAGAUAUUGAUGAUGGGUUUGGUACAACUCCAAUCGAAAUUGCCGCCCUCCAAGCCAGAUGGGAUAUGGUUGCGAUGUUAUUUCCUUUAACUUCUCCCAUUUCAAGAUUGCCGGAUUGGAGUAUUGAUGGAAUUAUUUCUCAUGUGCAAUCUUUUGGUUUGAAGCCGAGGGAUAUACAUCUAUGUGAAGCGAAAAGAGCUGAACUAAAGUUGCAAGCUACAGAGGCUUUUAAGAGAAAGGAAUAUAUCAUAGCAGGAGACCUAUAUACUUGUGCAAUGAGUUUUCAGCCUAGUCCAAAAGGUCUUGCAAACCUGCUAGCACAUAGGAGUUUCUGUAUGUUGCACGCGGGGAUAGGAAAAGAGGCUCUCUCCGACGCUGCUAGGUGCACAGUGCUACGACCUCUUUGGCCCAAAGGUUACUAUCGACUAGGAGCAGCCUUUAUGUUGCUACAGGACUAUGGAAAAGCAGCUCAGACGUUCGAAGCUGGCUUGAAACUGGACCCUACAAAUGCGGAUAUGGCAAACGCUUUAAGGGAAGCCCAAGAGACGGCGAGGAAUCCUCCUCGCACCAGGGGGCUGGAGUGCCUUCACCCAUUUGGAAUGAGACGUUCCUGGAGUGAUUGA
rnacentral:rRNA from 1 species